UCCGUUCUUGGUCCAACUGCAGCUGCCUUUUCUUAGUUAUGAAUUUGAACACCAAAAGCGUAUAGAACAUGGGAUGAUAGAAAUCAAGAUUGGCUUUUCAGUCAGAGGACGUUUGGUUCAGGUCUGGACUUGAACAUUGUGUGUGAACCUGGACAAGUAAUGUCACUCUGGCCUUAAUUUCUUCAUCUGUAAAAGGAGGUUAGAUUUGGUGACCUCUGAAGGUCUCUUGCAGGGGUAAGUAUCCAAAGCUGAUGAAAUCUGGCAGGGGCAGGGAUGGAGGCGCUUAUGAAAGCAAGUUCCUGUACCGGAGGGGGCAAGAAAGCAUCAGCUACAAGGAAAGCAGGAAGCUUGGGAGCUGGGAUCUAACGUGUUCCUGGGAUGUUUUUCGGGCUUGGGAGCGCUUCCCAAAGCCCCAGGACAAGUUAACUGGAAAGACAUCUGCCGAGGGGCACUCGAAAGCCCCCAAUUACCGAUAGUAGCUUUGGCAGAAAUCCAAGGGCUCCAACAAGGGUUGGACGGCAGACUUCAUACAUCGUCCCACCUCGGGCGCUGGGCCCCACGACUCUUCCCGACCUAUCGAGGAACUCACGGGCUCAACCACUGGUACCUCCAACAACCCUACAGUCUCUGUCUCAGCCAUUUGCCUCUCUAGAGAGCAGCCUGCAGCGAGGAAGGAGCAGAGGUGCUAAGUCUGGCGUCGGUUGUCAUAGAGACCACCCAGGGCCCAAGACCCGGAAGCAAUGGUGUGUUCUGAUUGGAGAAGACUGAGAAGGGGCGGGAGGAAGGAGGAGCAAACACGUCAUUUUUGUAAACAUCAGCCUGAAUGCGUUACUCUGGUCAAGAUGGCGGCUUAGAAGCUGCGAAAGUUCAGACCUCAGAAACCCUUCCUUACUGAUCUCAAACCGAGAGCUCCUAGGACACCGAAAUUCAAGGUGAACAACAGGACAGACCCGGGGAAUCCUCCUCCAGGACCUGGAUCAAAAGGGGAUCAUUCCGCCCACACCAGCUGAUCCUAAUCCCAUCAGGAGCCCUCAGAGCUUCUGAAAGAACAGAAACAGGGCUGGCUAAGGGCUUACCUUGAAAGCAACCUGGGCCAGUCUUCGGGCAUUCAACACAUUGUGGAGGAGAAGGUUUUUUGCUUUAGGGCUCAUUCAGUACAAACAAGCUGAACCUAAUCCCAUCAGGAGCCCUCACAGCCCAGGGAGGCCACAACCCCUCCCCCUUUAGAGAGCAGAGUCCUCUGAAAGAACCGGAUGAAUCUAAUCCCAUCAAAAGUCUCCAGAAAUCAGGGAAACCCAGGCUCCCCACCCACCCUCAUUGACUGCUGGACUUUAAGCCAAUCAAAAGCCUCCAGAGGACAGGAAAGCUCAAACCCCCAACAACCCUCCCCCAGAGACUACACCAAGAGAUCUUCUGUUAAAGCUCCAAGAGGGGAGACUGAUAGAAGUCCCCAAAAAACAAAGAAAAUGAGAGGAACAAGAGCACACACAAAUACAGGGAGUAAAGAAGGGGUGAAUUUGAGCAAACAACAGAAAAAGAAGAAAGAAACUACAAUAGACAGCUACUACUCAGCAAAUGGAACAGAGGGGGAGAGAUCAGCAAAAGAUAGACCAGAAAUCCCAGUGAAUUGGAUACAGGCUGUGGAAGAACUCAAAACACAACUAAGAGAGGCUGAAGACAAUUGGGAAAAGAACUUAAAAAUUAAGAUAAGUCAUCUGGAAACAGAGGCACUUGAACUAAAACAAGAAAAUAGUGUCUUGAAAGCCAAAAUCAACCAGCUGGAAAAUGAAGCAAAGGAGAUGAAAGAUGAGGCAAAGGAGAUAAAAGAUGAGGUAAACAGGAUGAAAGACGAUCUUCAAAGAAAAUCAGACCAGAAGGAAAAAGACGACCAAAAAGCCAGAGAUGAAAUCCAAUCUUUAAGAACCAGAAUACAACAACUAGAACCAAGUGACCUCACAAGGCAGCAGGACACUAUAAAACAAAACAAAAAGAAUGAAAAAAUUGAGGAAAAUGUGAAGAAUUGAUAGUAUUAAGCUUUCCAAGAAGAAGCCAUUCAUGGUGAGGUUAACACAGGAUCUGGCUGCAUCCACACUGAAGGACCGAAAGGCAUGGAAUACAAUAUUCUGGAAAACAAGGGAACUAGGUCUACAACCAAGAAUAAAAUACCCAUCAAAACUGACUAUAUUCUUACAGGGGAAAGUAUGGUCAUUCCACACAACAGAAGAGUUCCAAGCAUUCAUAAAUAAAAGACCAGACCUGAACAGAAAAUUUGAUGUCCAACCACAGAACUUAAGAGAAUCAUCAAAAGACUCAGGUCUAGACUUCCAGUCAAGAUGGCGGCUUAGAGAAAGCUAAAGUUCAGAUCUCUUGAAACCCUUCCUUACCGAUCUCAAACCGAAUGCUCCUAUGGCACCGAAAUUCAAAACGAUCAACAGCAUUGACCCUGGGAGUCCUCCUCCUGGACCUGGACCUGGAUCAAAAGGUACGCCCCCCCCCCCAAAAGCCAGAACCCGAGACCACUCGGACCUAAGGAGUAGGCAGAAGGAAGGUCCUAGGACCCAUCCCAUGCAACCCAGAGCGCCGAGUUCGAGUCCGAGGUAGCAGAGGCAACCUCAGAGCCCCACAGCCUACUAUUCUGAAGGCCUCUUCCUGAAAACAACCUAAUCCAGUCGAGGGGGCACCCAGACAGCAGGGAAACAGAGAGGGAUAGGGGAGCUCGAAACCCCCUGGGAGGAGCCCUCGGAGCUCCAGGAAGCCGGGGCCCCUCCCCCUCAGAGAACAGGGUCUUCUGAAACAACAGCAACCCUCAGGAUUGGCAAAAGGGCCUCGGGAGCCAGCUAUUCUGAAGGCCACAUCCUGAAAACAACCUGACCCAGUCGAGGGGGCACCCAGACAGCAGGGAAACAGAAGGAUGGGGGAGCUCGUAACCCCCUGGGAGGAGCUCUAGGAGCUCCAGGAAGCUGUGGCCCCUCCCCCUCGGAGAGCAGGGUUUUCUGAAACAACCAUAACCCUCAGGACUGGCAAAAGGGCCUCGGGAGCCAGCUAUUCGGAAGGCCACGAGGGGGCACCCAGACAGCAGGGAAACAAAGAGACGGGGGGGGGAGGGGGGAAGCCUGUAACCCCCUAGUUGGAUCCCUCCAUCCAAGUCUUAAUUCCCUGCCUCAGGGCACACUCAAUUCAACCCAGGGAAAGCUAAUCAUCUUAUCAGGAGCCCUUGCCCAGAGCUCCUGGAAGCCACGGCCCCUCCCCCUCAGAGAGCAGGGUCUUCUGAAACAACAGCAACCCUCAGGACUGGCAAAAGGGCCUCGGGAGCCGGCUAUUCUGAAGGCCACAUCCUAAAAAUAACCUAACCCAGUUGAGGGGGCACCCAGACAGCAGGGAAACAGAGAGAGAGUGGGGGAGCUUGUAACCCCCUGGCUGGAUCCUUCCAUCGGAGUCUCAAGAAAAAAGUCCCUGCCUCAAGGCAUACUAAAUUCAACCCAGGGAAAGCUAAUCUCAUUAGGAGCCCUCAGAGCUCCAGGAAGCCGAGGCCCCUCCCCCCUCAGAGUGCAGGCGCUGGCCAGCUAAGGCACAGGAACAAGGGCCAAGCUAGGCUUAGAGCUUGGAAGUAAGGCAAUGGAGAAGCAUCAGGAGGGUGCCGAAGAGAGGAGGGCACUAACAGGGACACACAAGCAACUCCUGGCAUCCCGGGAAGACAGAACAACAACUGCAUAGAACUGACAAUCUGCCUAGGGCUAAAACCUCUGAACACCAGACAGAGAUAAGAAAAGCUAAUCCCCCCCACUCAGAUAGAGAUGGCAAACUCCACAGAAGCACAAAAGUCCCAAAAUUAAAAAAAAAAAAAAAACAAGAAGGGGCAACUUUGGACACGUUUUAUGGAGCAAAAAUACAAAACACAGAGGAGAUAGAAGAGGAAACACAAGCAAAUGUUCUGAAACCUUCCAAAGGAAAUGGAAACUCUCCACAAACCCAUGAAGAAUUUAAAUCUGAAAGGAUCAAAAAGAUGGAAGCCUUCUGGGAGGAAAAGUGAGAAAUAAUGCAAAAGAAAUUCACGCAUCUACAAAACCAGUUUGACCAAACUAUAAAAGAAAACCAGGCUUUAAAUCAAGAACUAAUAAAGCAAAGCCAAAAGACCAAGAAAUUAGAAGAGAGCAUAAAAUAUCUCACUGACAAAGUGACAGAUUUGGAAAAUAGAGGGAGAAGAGAUAAUUUAAGAAUAAUUGGACUUCCAGAAAAGUCAGAAAUAAACAGCGAACUCGACAUCGUAAUACAAGAUAUAAUCAAAGAAAAUUGCCCAGAGAUUCUAGAACAAGGGGGCAAUACAGCCACUGACAGAGCUCACAGAACACCCUCUACACUAAACCCCCAAAAGACAACUCCCAGGAAUGUAAUUGCCAAAUUCCAAAACUCUCAAACAAAAGAAAAAAUCCUACAAGAAGCCAGAAAAAGACAAGUUAGAUAUAAAGGAAUGCCAAUCAGGGUCACACAAGACCUUGCAAGUUCUACUCUAAAUGAUCGUAAGGCAUGGAACAUGAUCUUCAGAAAGGCAAGAGAGCUGGGUCUUCAACCAAGAAUCAGCUAUCCAGCAAAACUGACUAUAUACUCCAAGGGAAAGUAUGGGCAUUCAACAAAAUAGAAGAUUUCCAACUUUUUGCAAUGAAAAGACCAGAGCUCUGUGGAAAGUUCGAUAUCGAAAAUCAAAGAGCAUGGAAUACCUGAAAAGGUAAAUAUGAAGGAAAGGGAAAAGGAGAAAAAUGUUAUCUUCUUCUUUUACUCAAACUCUCUUCUAUAAGGACUACAUUUCUAUCAAUCUAUGUAUACUAACAUGUGGGGAAAAUGUAAUGUGUAAAUGGGGGAAACGAAAGACCAAAUAGAAUAAUCGUUCUCACACAAAGAUUCACAUGGGAAGGGGAGGGGAAGAAAACUGCUAUAAGAAGGAGAGGAAGAGAGUUUUUACUUAAACCUUACUCUCAGGGAAAUCAACUCUGAGAGGGAAAAACAUCCAGAUCCAUUGGGAUCUUGAAUUCUAUCUUACCCAACAAGGGUAGGG